GUGCUCACUUUGGCAGCACGUAUACUAAAAUUGGAACAAUACAGAGAAGAUUAUUAGCAUGGCCCCUGUGCAAGGGUGACACGCAAAUUCGUGAAGUGUUCCAUAUUAAA